GAUGAACGCUGGCGGCGUGCUUAACACAUGCAAGUCGAACGAUGAAGCCCAGCUUGCUGGGUGGAUUAGUGGCGAACGGGUGAGUAACACGUGAGUAACCUGCCCUUAACUCUGGGAUAAGCCUGGGAAACUGGGUCUAAUACCGGAUAGGAGCGCCUACCGCAUGGUGGGUGUUGGAAAGAUUUAUCGGUUUUGGAUGGACUCGCGGCCUAUCAGCUUGUUGGUGGGGUAAUGGCUCACCAAGGCGACGACGGGUAGCCGGCCUGAGAGGGUGACCGGCCACACUGGGACUGAGACACGGCCCAGACUCCUACGGGAGGCAGCAGUGGGGAAUAUUGCACAAUGGGCGGAAGCCUGAUGCAGCGACGCCGCGUGAGGGAUGACGGCCUUCGGGUUGUAAACCGCUUUCGGUUGGGAAGAAGCGAGAGUGACGGUACCUGCAGAAGAAGCACCGGCUAACUACGUG
rnacentral:rRNA from 1 species